UAAGCAGCACCGCUCCAUGGCCUCUGCAUCAGCUCAUGACUCCAUGUUCCUGCCCUGCUUGAGUUCCUGUCCUGAAUCCCUUCAAUGAUGAACCGUGGUGAGGGAAUGUCUAUGAGACAGACAGAAAGAACUGAGGAGGUCCCUACAACCAGAGCACCCCUACCAAGAGGGGAUUUGUGCUUCCAUAGUCUCUGGCUGCUAGCAGUGUCUCUGACCCACAGUGGGGGUUCUCAAGACCGUGUUCUAGACAGGAACCUAACUUGACUGUCCUCUGGGAGGCUCCAGCCAGCAACUGAUGGAGACAGAUGCUGGGACUUGCAGCCAAGCAUGGGGCAGAGCUCUAGGGGUCCCGUGGAAGUGUUGAGGGAAAGAUGGAAGGACCUGGGGGGUGGGGACAGGAACCUCACAAGAAGACCAACAGAGACAACUAACCAGUCCCAUGGGGGCUUUCAGAGAUUGAGACAUCAACCACGGAGCAUGCAUGAUCUGGACCUAGGCCCCCUGUCCAUAUGUGCCCGAUAGGCGGCUUGGUUUUCAUGUGGGUCUCUGGCAAAUGGAGAGGGGUGGCAUUUCUAACAUGGACUCUAUUGCUUUUGGAUCACUUCUUCAUGGGAGGGCUGCCUUGCCCGGCCUCAGGGAAUGAGGAUAU